rnacentral:rRNA from 1 species
AGCGAACGCUGGCGGCAGGCCUAACACAUGCAAGUCGAACGGAUCCUUCGGGAUUAGUGGCGGACGGGUGAGUAACACGUGGGAACGUGCCCUUUGGUUCGGAACAACUCAGGGAAACUUGAGCUAAUACCGGAUGUGCCCUUCGGGGGAAAGAUUUAUCGCCAUUGGAGCGGCCCGCGUCUGAUUGGCUAGUUGGCGAGGUAAAGGCUCCCCAAGGCGACGAUCAGUAGCUGGUCUGAGAGGAUGAUCAGCCACAUUGGGACGGAGACACGGCCCAAACUCCUGCGGGAGGCAGCAGUGGGGAAUCUUGCGCAAUGGGCGAAAGCCUGACGCAGCCAUGCCGCGUGAAUGAUGAAGGUCUUAGGAUUGUAAAAUUCUUUCACCGGGGACGGUAAUGACGGUACCCGGAGAAGAAGCCCCGGCUAACUUCGUGCCAGCCGCCGCCGUAAUAC